UACGUAGGGCGCGAGCGUUGUCCGGAUUUAUUGGGCGUAAAGAGCUCGUAGGCGGCUUGUCACGUCGGAUGUGAAAGCCCGGGGCUUAACCCCGGGUCUGCAUUCGAUACGGGCUAGCUAGAGUGUGGUAGGGGAGAUCGGAAUUCCUGGUGUAGCGGUGAAAUGCGCAGAUAUCAGGAGGAACACCGGUGGCGAAGGCGGAUCUCUGGGCCAUUACUGACGCUGAGGAGCGAAAGCGUGGGGAGCGAACAGG
rnacentral:rRNA from 1 species